UAGGGAAUCUUCCGCAAUGGACGAAAGUCUGACGGAGCAACGCCGCGUGAGUGAAGAAGGAUUUCGGUUCGUAAAACUCUGUUGUUAGGGAAGAAAAAAUGUAUAGUAACUAUAUACAAAAGAGACGGUACCUAACCAGAAAGCCACGGCUAACUACGUGCCAGCAGCCGCGGUAAUACGUAGGUGGCAAGCGUUGUCCGGAAUUAUUGGGCGUAAAGCGCGCGCAGGUGGUUUAGAAAGUCUGAUGUGAAAGCCCACGGCUCAACCGUGGAGGGUCAUUGGAAACUAAUAAACUUGAGUGCAGGAGAGAAAAGUGGAAUUCCUAGUGUUGCGGUGAAAUGCGUAGAGAUUAGGGGGAACACCGGUGGCGAAAGCGGCUUUUUGGCCUGCAACUGACACUGAGGCGCGAAAGCGUGGGGAGCAAACAGG
rnacentral:rRNA from 1 species